GGUAGUGAGUUAUCAGCUAC
rnacentral:miRNA from 1 species